CCAGUAGAAUGAGUUAACAUGUCUACCUAAUAAUGUGAUCAAACUGGAUAAACUAUCUAAAAUAUUUGCAAGUCUCUCCUAUAUGUUAGGAAGGUUUGAGUCUCUUCAUUAUCUUCUCUUUGAUGUUCUCCUCUUAAUUAAAUGAAUGAGACCUGACAUCCUCCAGAAAGGAACAGUAUUGGUCCUCUAGUAUCUCUUGUAUUGAAGAACCAGGAGACCACAUGUGACGGCCAACCUCUCCCUCAUCCCUCAAGAUCCCCUCGUGACCAUACAAGUAAGGAUGAGGAGUGGGUGGAGUGAGGGGAGGUGUGGUGAGAAAGGAAGUUGUGAUGAUGAAAGCUAUGCUACCUCCUGAGUUAUGGUAUACUGUUACUGUUCUUAUGGGGUACCCAAUGUAUGCUCCUUUUCAUCAAAAAGGAAGAAUUACUCUAACAACUAGAUCAGUAGCGUUGCUGAGGAAAAUGACUGUUGCUAUGACAACUAUACAUGUACAUCAAUGAAGAGA